rnacentral:rRNA from 1 species
GGUUAAAAAGCUCGUAGUUGGAUCUCGGCAAGUAGAGGGCGGUAUGCUUCGUAGCAUUACUGCCCUAUUACUUGUAGUUUUGCCAGAGGUUCCUGGGUGCUCUUAAUCGAGUGUCUAGGGAUGCUGGCAGGUUUACUUUGAAAAAAUUAGAGUGCUCAAAGCAGGCUAUUACGCUUGAAUAUUCGUGCAUGGAAUAAUAGAAUAGGAAGUUGUUUCUAUUUUGUUGGUUUUCGGAAAUCGACUUAAUGAUUAAUAGGGACAGUCGGGGGCAUUUGUAUUCAAACGACAGAGGUGAAAUUCUUGGACCGUUUGAAGACAAACCACUGCGAAAGCAUUUGCCAAGAAUGUUUUCAUUAAUCAAGAACGAAAGUUAGAGGUUCGAAGGCGAUUAGAUACCGCCCUAGUUCUAACCAUAAACGAUGCCAGCUAGCGAUCUGAGGACGUUUUUUUUGUAGACUCCUCAGGAAGCUUCCGGGAAACCAAAGCGUGUGGGUUCCGGGGGAAGUAUGGUUGCAAAGCUGAAACUUAAAGGAAUUGACCGAAGGGCACCACCAGGAGUGGAGCCUGC